rnacentral:tRNA from 5 species
GCCGGGAUGGCGGAAUUGGUAGACGCACGGGACUCAAAAUCCCGCGGUGGUGACACCAUGGGGGUUCGAUUCCCCCUCCCGGCACCA